rnacentral:rRNA from 1 species
AGUGAACGCUGGCGGUAGGCCUAACACAUGCAAGUCGAACGGCAGCACAGUAAGAGCUUGCUCUUACGGGUGGCGAGUGGCGGACGGGUGAGGAAUACAUCGGAAUCUACUUUUUCGUGGGGGAUAACGUAGGGAAACUUACGCUAAUACCGCAUACGACCUACGGGUGAAAGCAGGGGAUCUUCGGACCUUGCGCGAUUGAAUGAGCCGAUGUCGGAUUAGCUAGUUGGCGGGUCAAAGGCCCACCAAGGCGACGAUCCGUAGCUGGUCUGAGCGGAUGAUUACCUACACUGGAAUUGAGACACAGCCCCGACUUCAGAUAGUGGCACAAGCUCGGAUUAUAGGACAACAGGCGCAUGCCUACUCCAGCCAAACCGCGUCUGUUAAGAAGGCCUUCGGGUUGUAAACCCCUUUUGUUGAGAAAGAAAAGCAGCCGGUUAAUACCCCGCUGUUUUGACGGUACCCAAAAAAUAAGCACCGGCUAACUUCGUG